CCUACGGGAGGCAGCAGUGAGGAAUAUUGGUCAAUGGACGAGAGUCUGAACCAGCCAAGUAGCGUGAAGGAUGACUGCCCUAUGGGUUGUAAACUUCUUUUAUAUGGGAAUAAAACGUUCCACGUGUUAGAUUUUGUAUGUACCCUAUGAAUAAGCAUCGGCUAACUCCGUGCCAGCAGCCGCGGUAAUACGGAGGAUCCGAGCGUUAUCCGGAUUUAUUGGGUUUAAAGGGAGCGUAGGUGGAUUGUUAAGUCAGUUGUGAAAGUUUGCGGCUCAACCGUAAAAUUGCAGAUGAUACUGGCAGUCUUGAGUACAGUAGAGGUGGGCGGAAUUAGUGGUGUAGCGGUGAAAUGCGUAGAUAUCACUAAGAACUCCGAUGGCGAAGGCAGUUCACUGGACUGGAACUGACACUGAGGCUCGAAAGUGUGGGUAUCAAACAGGAUUAGAUACCCUAGUAGUC
rnacentral:rRNA from 1 species